rnacentral:misc_RNA from 1 species
GAAAUGCGAUAAGUAAUGUGAAUUGCAGAAUUCAGUGAAUCAUCGAAUCUUUGAACGCACAUUGCGCCCCCUGGUAUUCCGGGGGGCAUGCCUGUUCGAGCGUCAUUUCUCCACUCAAGCCUCGCUUGGUAUUGGGCGACGCGGUCCGCCGCGCGCCUCAAAUCGACCGGCUGGGUCUUCCGUCCCCUCAGCGUUGUGGAAACUAUUCGCUAAAGGGUGCCGCGGGAGGUCACGCCGCAAAACAACCCCAUUUCUAAGGUUGACCUCGGAUCAGGUAGGGAUACCCGCUGAACUUAAGC